UGGCGAUUCUUUUGGAUUGUUUUUGGAAUCUCAGACACCUGUUCUGCCGGAAUCUUCAGGGAAAGGGAAAUUUCCUUGGAUGAUGACGACGGACAAUAUGGGAUACAGAUUGUGGCAAUGUUAGCUCAUACUACUUCAACCAGGUUCUUCUUCUCAUAGCGUAACAACUUAAUUCUUGAAUUUUUUGAAUGAUUAUAAUUUCAGUUUUAGGGUUAGGGUUUUCCAUAAUUGUUCGAUGAUUUACCAUAAGAAAAUAGCGACAUUUUACAGUUUCCCAGGGUUACUUGGGUUGUUCUGUAUACCCCAUAUGGAGAUUUAAGAACUAAAAAUAUAGGAAGAUUCAGAACGAUGUUAGAAGGGAGGGGAAAACUAGAAUAAAAAAAAUGGAAAAUCAAAAGCCAGAGAAAAUGUUGAACUCGGCAGACUCGGGUUCCUCAUCUAAUACUCCUCCUCCCGAUCAAAACUCAUCCCCAGAAGAUUCAAAAUCUCCACCUACAGAUUCUGCUGCUGCACCCCAAAAGUCAGAGCCACCCACGGAGGAGCAGAAAUCUCCCCCACCUGAUUCAUCAAAUGCUACCCCUCCACCAGGUAGCUCUUCAUCUCCCUCACCUCCAGCAUCUAGCCCACCAGCCGGUUCCACCGAUUCACCACCCCCUUCUCCACCGUCGGAUUCAAAAUCUUCACCACCAGCGCCGGCUGAGAGGUCAACACCUCCAGCAUCUGCACCCCCAGAAAAUUCGGGUGGGACUUCAAAGCCUCCACCUGCAUCGCAUCCUCCCCCGCCACAGGGUUCUUCUGAUUCACCAGUGCCACCUCCCCCAAAGCCAAAUUCUGCUGCUGCUCAGCCUCCUCCAGCAUCCCCUCCUCUGACCAGCUCUCCCAAUUCACCUGUGAUUUCUCCUCCACCUAAUUCUCCUGAUGCAUCCAAACAAACCCCACCUCCACCAGCUGCAGAAAACUCGGGAUCACCACCAGCACAAAGUACCUCCCCUCCAUCAGCUGAAAGCCCACCCAAGGCUGUCCCAUCUCCUCAAACACCUGGAUCACCACCUGCAACAUCAACCCAAAAUCCCACUCCCUCUAAUGUCCCACCAUCUACAUCAACUACUCCAGCUUCUCAAACUUCCAAACAUACCCCAAAACUAUCACCUCCUUCCUCACAAUCACCCUCUACUUCUUCCAUCUCUUCCCAAACAGGUGCCAUUAUUGGAAUCUCAGUGGCAGGAGUGGUGAUUAUUGCGUUCUUAUUCUUCUGUGUGGCAAGGAGGAGGAGAAACAAAAGAGAAGAUGCUUAUAUAGCCCAAUACAAACCUCCAUUCAGUAACUUCUCCGGACAACCAGAUGGGUAUUUCUAUCACUCAUACCAAUAUACAGGUGGGGCUUCUGGACAAGCAGAUACCUACUAUGGUGGAAAACCCAUGACAUCUCCUCCUGCACUUGGAAAUAGUUAUGGAAGCAACAAAGGAUAUAGUCCCAGAAAUCCAGAUGCGAAUGUCAUGGGUGCUAAGUCAUCGUUCAGCUAUGAAGAGCUAAUGGAAAUAACGCAUGGUUUUUCUCAGAAUAAUAUUAUAGGUGAGGGUGGGUUUGGAUGUGUUCACAAAGGUACACUACCAGAUGGGAGAGUAGUGGCAGUGAAACAGCUCAAGGCUGGUAGUGGACAGGGGGAGAGGGAAUUCCAAGCAGAAGUUGAGAUCAUAAGCCGUGUUCACCAUCGGCAUUUAGUCUCUUUGGUGGGCUAUUGCAUUGCUGAACGUCAUCGAUUGCUCGUCUAUGAAUUUGUUUCAAAUAAUAAUCUUGAACACCAUUUGCAUGGAAAAGGCGUCCCUGUGAUGGAGUGGCCCAAGAGACUUAAAAUUGCACUUGGUGCUGCUCGUGGGUUGGCUUAUCUUCAUGAAGACUGUCAUCCAAAAAUUAUCCACAGAGACAUCAAAUCAUCAAACAUACUGUUGGAUGAUGUCUUUGAAGCACAGGUUGCAGACUUUGGGCUUGCAAAAUUAACAAAUGAUACUAAUACACAUGUAUCAACUCGUGUUAUGGGGACAUUUGGGUACAUGGCACCGGAGUAUGCAUCAAGUGGCAAACUGACAGAUAGAUCCGAUGUGUACUCAUUUGGAGUUGUGCUUCUAGAGCUUGUGACAGGGCGUAAACCUGUUGAUUCAACUCAGCCUUUGGGGGAUGAAAGUUUAGUUGAGUGGGCAAGGCCACUCUUGAACCGUGCCCUUGAUUCUGGAGAUUUUGAAGAAAUAGUAGAUCCAAGGCUUGAAAAAAGAUAUGUGGAGAGUGAGAUGUUUAGGAUGAUUGAGACAGCUGCUGCUUGUGUUCGUCAUUCUGCUCAAAAGAGACCCCGAAUGGUACAGGUUGUGCGAGCAUUGGACACUGAAGGUGAGAUGGGAGAUCUCUCCAAUGGUGUGAAAUAUGGUCAAAGCACAGUAUUUGACUCGAACCAGUACUCAGCAGACAUUCAGAGAUUCCGCAGAAUGGCAUUUGGUAAUGGGGAUAGCUCUGAAUAUAGCGUAUACAGUGGGGAGUACAACUCUAGAGAGGUACCAUUCAAAUCCCAAAGUUCUUGGAGUCGGGGUGCUUCGAGUGAGUUCUCCAGUGGUAGCAAACUCAUGCCAUAAACCAACCGAAUGGGUGGUGAGCAGAUUUCCAACAAAGCACACCCCAACAAAUGAUGCUGCCAUACUGCUUUUUAGAUUCUAUAUUUCAAGGUGUACAUACAUUUGUGCUGUCCAGCUGCAUAUGAUUCUGGAGGUUCCUUGGGAGCAAGAAAUUCUUUCCAGUUGCUAGAAUUCUGGAACCACAAUAUUCAUCUAUGUAUGUUGGAUGCUCACAACGACCAAGUGCUGCUGCAGGGAAAAAGCAUCUCAGGCUGUUGGUAGGUAGGAAGAACGCAGGGGGCAGGUGGCUGCGGUUGUAUUCAGAAAAGAGAGAGGGUCUAAACAACUACAGAUGAUUAUUUCAUGUCAAUGCCUUACAUCUUGGAUGCUUUCUCCUAUCCCUGCUUUGGUGUGGUACCAGAUAGGAGGUUUCUUAAUACACACUCCAAUUUGGUGCAAAACUAUUCACUUCCAAAUGCAAAAUAUUUCUUUUUUAAAUUGAGAUUAUCUAAAUGACAUUAUAUAGGUGUAUUUAAAACUUGUAAUGUUCUU